rnacentral:tRNA from 1 species
GGCGGGUUGGUAGAGUUUGGCUUAUUGCACCUGACUUGAAAUCAGGCGAACCUUAAACGGUUCCGAGGGUUCGAAUCCCUCACCCGCUU